GGGGUUUGACCUAAUUGGUUUACA
rnacentral:siRNA from 1 species